CCAAAUUUUAUUUUUAAGUCAAUGUUUAGCAUUAGUGUACAUAGAUCAUUCGAUAUUCAUUAAUACAUUUUAAAACAAUACUUAUUUCAAAGUUUAGAUCAAGAGUUAGUUAUGUUUAAAAAAAAACAAAGUUUAAUAAUAUCUUUAUUAAUAAGUGAUUAUUUUUUGUCCUAUAAAUAUCUUCAUUGGAUUUAUAAUUAUUCUAAAAUAAAAACAACAACUUUAUAAGUAAUAUAAAUAGAAAUAUGAAUGCCUGAAUCAGACAUAGGGAAAAAUUAUAGAUCUGAGGUUAUUAUAAAAAAAAAGUAUAUUUAUUUGUAAUUUUUAAUACAAAAAUUAUAAAAGUUUAAAAAAGCAAAUAAUUUAAUUGAAAGUCAGUAUAGGUUAAAAAUAUACAAGCCAAUAAGAUCUUUAAGUAUAUAAAUAAUAAAUUGGACUUUAAGCGUUUGCACACACAAAGAUCCUUACAACGUUUGUUGAGACACUCUUUCGCUCAUUUUUAGCCACAACACUUCUCAGGACAACACGUGUCU